rnacentral:rRNA from 1 species
GACGUAGGGCGCGAGCGUGUCCGGAUUUAUUGGGCGUAAAGAGCUCGUAGGCGGCUUGUCGCGUCGUUCGUGAAAACUUGGGGCUCAACCCCAAGCUUGCGGUCGAUACGGGCAGGCUAGAGUUCGGUAGGGGAGACUGGAAUUCCUGGUGUAGCGGUGAAAUGCGCAGAUAUCAGGAGGAACACCGGUGGCGAAGGCGGGUCUCUGGGCCGAUACUGACGUGGAGGAGCGAAAGCGUGGGGAGCGAACAGG